AACAUGGGGCCUCCGCGACUGCCCCGUGAGGCCAAGGCCCAAAGUCGCAUCCACUGAAAUCCCAGAGGAUGUGCCAUG
rfam:Roseovarius sp. BRH_c41 BRHa_1001319, whole genome shotgun sequence.